rnacentral:lncRNA from 1 species
AUGAAUAUUCUUCAGAUCUACAGUUUGAUGAACUUUUUUGUGUUAACAAGGAAUAUUUUCCGGAACUUUAGGUUUAAUGAAUAUUUUCCAGAUCUGAAAACAAAAAUCAAAGGUGACGAUGAAUGUUUCUGUGGGUUUCGGCGAAGGUGACGAUGAAGGUUUAUGUUGGUUUCGUUCAAGAUGACAGGUUUAUGUUGUUUU